rnacentral:rRNA from 1 species
CCUACGGGGGGCAGCAGUGGGGAAUAUUGGACAAUGGGCGAAAGCCUGAUCCAGCCAUGCCGCGUGUGUGAAGAAGGCCUUCGGGUUGUAAAGCACUUUCAGUGGGGAAGAAAGCCUUGGGGCUAAUACCCUCGAGGAAGGACAUCACCCACAGAAGAAGCACCGGCUAACUCCGUGCCAGCAGCCGCGGUAAUACGGAGGGUGCGAGCGUUAAUCGGAAUUACUGGGCGUAAAGCGCGCGUAGGCGGUCUGAUAAGCCGGUUGUGAAAGCCCCGGGCUCAACCUGGGAACGGCAUCCGGAACGGUCAGGCUAGAGUGCAGGAGAGGAAGGUAGAAUUCCCGGUGUAGCGGUGAAAUGCGUAGAGAUCGGGAGGAAUACCAGUGGCGAAGGCGGCCUUCUGGACUGACACUGACGCUGAGGUGCGAAAGCGUGGGUAGCAAACAGGAUUAGAUACCCUGGUAGUC